UACGUAGGUGACCAGCGUUGUCCGGAUUUACUGGGCGUAAAGAGCGCGCAGGCGGUCGUUCAAGUCGAGUGUGAAAGCCCCCGGCUCAACUGGGGAGGGUCACUCGAUACUGAUCGACUUGAAGGCAGGAGAGGGAAGCGGAAUUCCCGGUGUAGUGGUGAAAUGCGUAGAUAUCGGGAGGAACACCAGUGGCGAAGGCGACUUCCUGGCCUGUUCUUGACGCUGAUGCGCGAAAGCGUGGGGAGCAAACGGGG
rnacentral:rRNA from 1 species